UUGCGAUUGGCAUGUUGGCAGUGUUGUUAGCUGGUUGUGUGGCUACAUUGUAUAUACGACCGCUAUCGGCACUGCAAUUAUGACGAUCGUAGG
rnacentral:pre_miRNA from 11 species